rnacentral:lncRNA from 1 species
ACUGAGGGGAGAGGGGCUGGGAGCUGAGAGACGCUGCUACCUUCGCCGCAGCUUAGGCCACUGAAAGGGAAGGCCCUCUUCGGCGCAUGAGCUAAAUGGCCGGCUCGGAAGGCUCCGCCCGCCAGGCACCAUUGGUAGGGAAGGCGCAAAAAGGAGGGACCCAAGGCAAGGGAAGGGCCCUCUGACGCUCGCCUGCAUCCUUUUGUUUCCCCGCCCAAUCGAUCUCUGUAGUGGGGGGGGGGGACGUUUCCGCAUCCCCCUCCAUUCCUUAAAUUCCUUUUGGUGAAUAGCGGAAGGAUUGAAUAAGACUAGAGACAGACGAACAGUGACGUUUCCAUUGGAGUGAAUUCCUGGUGCUCGAUGGGAUUUACAGCUCUGUUCUACACGCAUUCUUGAGUGUAAAGUGGCGCACGGAAACGAAUACAGAGCAAAUCCAGGCUAGGUUUCUUCGGUUGUAAUUCGGAUGUUUCAAGGAAUGUUUCUGACAUUGGCUAUCUUUAAGAUCCUGAAGUCUUUUAGUUCAAGCAGUGCUUCAAUAGUAGAUGUUCCUUAUUUCUGCAAAGUAAGGAACCAGAAAAGAGAAUCUACCUUGGCUGUAAUUGAUAAGAUCCAUAAGAAGAAUGCAGAGUGUUCACUUCUGCAAAAUGACAGAAUCUACUGCUGCUACUCUUCUAGGUCCAACAUUUCAACAUCUCUCUGCGUUUCUUGUACAUAAACAUACAUGUGCAUGAUGAUCUGUGUUUGCUUCCCCCAACUCUGAUGUAUAUAUCUUGGAUUACUAAAUUACUGUUUCCUAUUUUUAUCUAGAUGAGGAUUGCCUAUUGGUUUUUGCAUGGCAAUUUUUGUUUAUUGACUUUUUAUCGUUAGUUAUGGGUAGUGCAUUCAUUAAAACUUUUACUAAGAAAUAGCUUUCAUUAAGUGUGCAGGUCUUACCGCAUAAAAAGCAAAAGAACAGGCUUUUAUCCAGUGAUUGCAAUUCUGUCUACAAUUAUAAGUCCUAUUAAACUUGUAGAAGCUGAUUUAAAUAAAUGUGUUUAGGAAAAUGAUAGAUUUGUCA